rnacentral:tRNA from 1 species
GGUUCCGUGGUGUAGUGGUUAUCACGUCUGUCUUACACACAGAAGGUCCCCAGUUCGAUCCUGGGCGGAGCCA